rnacentral:rRNA from 1 species
GACGAACGCUGGCGGCGUGCUUAACACAUGCAAGUCGAACGGAAAGGCCCUGCUUUUGUGGGGUGCUCGAGUGGCGAACGGGUGAGUAACACGUGAGUAACCUGCCCUUGACUUUGGGAUAACGUCAGGAAACUGGGGCUAAUACCGGAUAGGAGCUCCUGCGGCAGGGUGGGGGUGGGAAAGUUUCGGCGGUUGGGGAUGGACUCGCGGCUUAUCAGCUUGUUGGUGGGGUAGUGGCUUACCAAGGCUUUGACGGGUAGCCGGCCUGAGAGGGUGACCGGCCCCAUUGGGACUGGGCUACGGCCCAGACUCCUACGGGAGGCAGCAGUGGGGAAUAUUGCCCAAUGGGCGGAAGCCUGAUGCAGCCACGCCGCGUGCGGGAUGACGGCCUUCGGGUUGUAAACCGCUUUCGCCUGUGACGAAGCGUGAGUGACGGUAAUGGGUAAAGAAGCACCGGCUAACUACGUG